rnacentral:rRNA from 1 species
CCAGACUCCUACGGGAGGCAGCAGUAGGGAAUUUUCGUCAAUGGGCGCAAGCCUGAACGAGCGAUGCCGCGUGAGUGAAGAAGGCCUUCGGGUCGUAAAGCUCUGUUGCGGGGGAAAAAAGGCAGCAUCAGGAAAUGGGUGCUGACUGAUGGUGCCCCGCCAGAAAGUCACGGCUAACUACGUGCCAGCAGCCGCGGUCAUACGUAGGAUCCGAGCAUUAUCCGGAGUGACUGGGUGUAAAGAGUUGCGUAGGUGGCAUAAUAAGUAGCUAGUGAAAUCUGGUGGCUCAACCAUUCAGACUAUUAGCUAAACUGUUAAGCUCGAGACCGUUAGGGGUAACUGGAAUUUCUAGUGUAGGAGUGAAAUCCGUAGAUAUUAGAAGGAACACCAAUAGCGUAGGCAGGUUACUGGGACGGUUCUGACACUAAGGCACGAAAGCGUAGGGAGCAAACGGGAUUAGAUACCCCCGUA